rnacentral:rRNA from 1 species
GAUGAACGCUGGCGGCGUGCCUAAUACAUGCAAGUCGAGCGAACGGACGAGAAGCUUGCUUUUCUGAUGUUAGCGGCGGACGGGUGAGUAACACGUGGAUAACCUACCUAUAAGACUGGGAUAACUUCGGGAAACCGGAGCUAAUACCGGAUAAUAUUUUGAACCGCAUGGUUCAAAAGUGAAAGACGGUCUUGCUGUCACUUAUAGAUGGAUCCGCGCUGCAUUAGCUAGUUGGUAAGGUAACGGCUUACCAAGGCAACGAUGCAUAGCCGACCUGAGAGGGUGAUCGGCCACACUGGAACUGAGACACGGUACAGACUCCUACGGGAGGCAGCAGUAGGGAAUCUUCCGCAAUGGGCGAAAGCCUGACGGAGCAACGCCGCGUGAGUGAUGAAGGUCUUCGGAUCGUAAAACUCUGUUAUUAGGGAAGAACAUAUGUGUAAGUAACUGUGCACAUCUUGACGGUACCUAAUCAGAAAGCCACGGCAACUACGUG